AGUGAACGCUGGCGGUAGGCCUAACACAUGCAAGUCGAACGGCAGCACAGUAAGAGCUUGCUCUUACGGGUGGCGAGUGGCGGACGGGUGAGGAGUACAUCGGAAUCUACUUUUUCGUGGGGGAUAACGUAGGGAAACUUACGCUAAUACCGCAUACGACCUACGGGUGAAAGCAGGGGAUCUUCGGACCUUGCGCGAUUGAAUGAGCCGAUGUCGGAUUAGCUAGUUGGCGGGGUAAAGGCCCACCAAGGCGACGAUCCGUAGCUGGUCUGAGAGGAUGAUCAGCCACACUGGAACUGAGACACGGUCCAGACUCCUACGGGAGGCAGCAGUGGGGAAUAUUGGACAAUGGGCGCAAGCCUGAUCCAGCCAUACCGCGUGGGUGAAGAAGGCCUUCGGGUUGUAAAGCCCUUUUGUUGGGAAAGAAAAGCAGCAGGUUAAUACCCCGCUGUUCUGACGGUACCCAAAGAAUAAGCACCAGCUAACCUCGUG
rnacentral:rRNA from 1 species